UAGGGAAUCUUCCGCAAUGGGCGAAAGCCUGACGGAGCAACGCCGCGUGAGUGAUGAAGGUCUUCGGAUCGUAAAACUCUGUUAUCAGGGAAGAACAAAUGUGUAAGUAACUGUGCACAUCUUGACGGUACCUGAUCAGAAAGCCACGGCUAACUACGUGCCAGCAGCCGCGGUAAUACGUAGGUGGCAAGCGUUAUCCGGAAUUAUUGGGCGUAAAGCGCGCGUAGGCGGUUUUUUAAGUCUGAUGUGAAAGCCCACGGCUCAACCGUGGAGGGUCAUUGGAAACUGGAAAACUUGAGUGCAGAAGAGGAAAGUGGAAUUCCAUGUGUAGCGGUGAAAUGCGCAGAGAUAUGGAGGAACACCAGUGGCGAAGGCGACUUUCUGGUCUGUAACUGACGCUGAUGUGCGAAAGCGUGGGGAUCAAACAGG
rnacentral:rRNA from 2 species